rnacentral:rRNA from 1 species
AGGACGAACGCUGGCGGCGUGCUUAACACAUGCAAGUCGAGCGGAAAGGCCCUUCGGGGUACUCGAGCGGCGAACGGGUGAGUAACACGUGAGCAACCUGCCCUUGGCUCUGGGAUAGCCUCCGGAAACGGGGAUUAAUACCGGAUAUUCACUUUUUCCUGCAUGGGGGAGGGUGGAAAGUUUUUUCGGCCAGGGAGGGGCUCGCGGCCUAUCAGCUUGUUGGCGGGGUAAUGGCCCACCAAGGCGACGACGGGUAG